UCGCACCUACCGAUUGAAUGACUCGGUGAAACAUUGGGACUGCGAGAAAUCUUGCUUUAUUGCGAGUAUUUUUGUGGGAACUUUAGUAAACCUAUUCAUUUAGAGGAAGGUG
rnacentral:rRNA from 1 species